rnacentral:rRNA from 1 species
GGCCAGACUCCUACGGGAGGCAGCAGUGGGGAAUAUUGCACAAUGGGGGAAACCCUGAUGCAGCGACGCCGCGUGAGCGAUGAAGUAUUUCGGUAUGUAAAGCUCUAUCAGCAGGGAAGAAAAUGACGGUACCUGACUAAGAAGCCCCGGCUAACUACGUGCCAGCAGCCGCGGUAAUACGUAGGGGGCAAGCGUUAUCCGGAUUUACUGGGUGUAAAGGGGGCGUAGACGGCGGUGCAAGCCAGAUGUGAAAGCCCGGGGCUCAACCCCGGGACUGCAUUUGGAACUGUAAGGCUAGAGUGUCGGAGAGGCAGGCGGAAUUCCUAGUGUAGCGGUGAAAUGCGUAGAUAUCAGGAGGAACACCGGUGGCGAAGGCGGCCUGCUGGACUGCGACUGACGUUGAGGCCCGAAAGCGUGGGGAGCAAACAGGAUUAGAUACCCCUGUAUG